AGACGGGAGCCGGGAGUAUGUGAACGUGUCCCAGGAGCUGCACCCGCAGGUGGAGAAGACGGAGCCUGCCCCCCUGAGUUCCCAGGACAUGGAGGAGGAAGAGGAAGAAGAGGAGGGACCUCCUGAUUAUGAGAACCUGCAGGAUCUGAACUGAGGGCCUGGUCUGGAGCCAGCCUUAAGGGAGGUGCUCUUGCUGCGGAGCCAGGCAGCUGGAAGUGGUGCUGGGCCCCUGGGCUGUGCUUCCCGCCCAGCCUGACAUCAGCCUGAGAAUUUCCCCCUAACUUAUUGUCACUUUGGGGCCUAGCCUGUGUUCCCCCCUCCGACUCCCCCACACUGCACUUUCUGACGCAGCCUGAGAAUGGACCACCCUGGCCCCAGCCCUCCCCUUUGCCAAAGAAUAAAGGCCGGUGUGGUUCGUA